rnacentral:rRNA from 1 species
CUCCGGUUGAUCCUGCCGGACCUGACUGCUAUCGGAUUGGUACUAAGCCAUGCGAGUCGUUGUAGCAAUACAAGGCGGACGGCUCAGUAACACGUAGUCAACCUAACCUAUGGACGUGGAUAACCUCGGGAAACUGAGAAUAAACCGCGAUAGAUCAUUAUGCCUGGAAUGGCUUAUGGUUCAAACAAUUUAUUGCCGUAGGAUGGGACUGCGGCCUAUCAGCUUGUUGGUGAGGUAAUGGCCCACCAAGGCUAUAACAGGUACGGGCUCUGAGAGGAGAAGCCCGGAGAUGGGUACUGAGACACGGACCCAGGCCCUAUGGGGCGCAGCAGGCGAGAAACCUUAGCAAUGUGCGAAAGCACGACUAGGUUAAUCCGAGUGAUUUCUGUUGAAGAAAUCUUUUGUCAGUCGUAAAACCACAGACGAAUAAGGGGUGGGCAAGUCUGGUGUCAGCCGCCGCGGUAAUACCAGCACCUCGAGUGGUCAGGAGGUUUAUUGGGCCUAAAGCAUCCGUAGCCGGCUACGCAAGUCUCCGGUUAAAUCCAGCUGCUCAACAGAUGGGCUGCCGGAGAUACUACAUAGCUAGGGAGCGGGAGAGGUAGACGGUAUUCUGUGGGUAGGGGUAAAAUCCACUGAUCCAUAGAGGACCACCAGUGGCGAAGGCGGUCUACCAGAACGCGUUCGACGGUGAGGGAUGAAAGCUGGGGGAGCAAACCGGAUUAGAUACCCGGGUAGUCCCAGCUGUAAACGAUGCAAACUCGGUGAUGCAUUGGCUUAUGGCCAAUGCAGUGCCGCAGGGAAGCCGUUAAGUUUGCCGCCUGGGAAGUACGGACGCAAGUCUGAAACUUAAAGGAUUGGGCGGGGGAGCA